UACUGUGUGAGCGCCAUGACGGGUCUGCGUGCUCAGGUUACUGUCCUCCAGAGAAGACCUCCGGAUGACCUGUGUUUUGCGAUUUGAAGGUGAAGUGUCUCCAUAUCUCCACAGGCUCAUGUGUCUACACACAUAGACCCCAGCUGGUGGUGCCGUUCUGGCAGGUUGUGGAGCCCGCGGAGGUAGAAUCUUCCCGGAGGAAGUGGGCCACUAGGGGCACACUAUUUGUUUAGAGAAGAAAAAAAAAAAGAAAGAAAGAAAGAAAGAAAGAAAGAAAGAAAGAAAGAGCUUUAAGGGCGAACUCAUGUUUACCACUAUGUGUGACAAUAUUUCAAAGGAAGACUGGCUCAAAAUGUCUUCUAAAAGGAAUCUGGAAUAUUGUAUCUUUGUAAACAAUAGGUUUCCCCCAUACACAAUCAGUAUUUCACAGUGCCUGGCGCAAUGCAAAUUCCAGUGCUGGUGGAACCGAAUGUAAAGGGAGGAGUAAAUCUUCCCAGACAUAGUCAUUCUUAGGGCAGGCGCACGUGAAGUAUGCCUGGUCCUCAGCCACUCAAGAUGGGUGGCUGUAAAUGCGGCAAAGUCCUAUUCCUUCCUGUCCCCCACGCUGCCAUCCACCCAGCCCGCCCUGCUCAGACCCACAGCAAUUGCACUGUGCUGCCAGUGUGGAUGGAUUUUGGUCAGUGUUUUGUUUCACUGUGGCGAUGUCUUGUUUCAGUAAAAGCUGGCUCUCGGGCUUCUUGUGGCUUUUCUUCCGAGCUAAGGAUGCAUGCUUGCAAGCUGUCUGUCUCUUUGCAUUUAGCUGCAAGGGUUGGCAGCCCCUCCCCCAGCCACCCUUCCCUCCGUUGCUGCUACUACUUUUAUUCAAUUCAACACUUGAGGGAACUGCAGAUGAAAUGCCUCGGAAUCUAAAUUGCCAGCAAUGGAAAUAACAACCUAUUUUCUGACCUCCCCCUUCCUGCACCCACACUUGGAAUCCGCAUCUAGGAGCACAAAGCCAUUCUCUACUGUCUCCUGGGUUUGCUGCGAUAGUGGCUUUUCUGGGUAUGGGUGGGCAACCUCAAACACAAACCCAUUAGGAAAAAUAUCUGGGAAAGUACAGAAAUGCACGUGUAUAUGCUUAUAAGGCUCCGAAUGCUGGAGAACAUACAAUUUGCACAGAGAAAUUGGAAUUCACACAUGAAGCUGUCACCUCGGGAGAGGAUACACUCACUCACCCAGCACCAGUUCCUGACAAAGCUUUUGGUUUUUAUUUCUGAAAUUUCUCUUAGAGAAUUGCUCUUCGCAUCAGUCCCUAAGAGAUGCAUAAAACCAAGCCCCCUAACACUCCAUUUUAAAAUUCCAAAAUUACUCAGCUCCAUUCCUGACCACGUGGAGAGACUUCCCCGUGAAUGGAUUUCUAUGUAUUAAAAAAUACCAUAUCCUCUCUGAAAGCCGAUAAACUGACUGCUGAUGAGAUUUUUAAGAUGUGAUGCUCUCACAGAAACCCACCCACCGUGGGUCAGUGGGCAGGAGCCGUGACGGAUGCUAUGCCGUCCCCACUUGUCAUUAGGAAAACUAAUCCCUGCUGGCUGUGGUGCUGCAGCUCUGUGACCUCAGUGCCUCAGGGGUAGAGAGAGAGAAAGCUGGGCUUUAGGGUCGUCUUCUGCCACAUAUCGAGUUUGAAGCUAGCCAGCUAGCCUGGGCUACAUGAGAAUCAUCCAAUGCUCUCUCCCCAAAAGACACAACACAUACACACACACACACACACACACACACACACACUAGAGAGAGAGAGACAGAGACAGAGACAGACAGAGACACAGAGAGACAGAGACAGACAGACAGAGUGAGACAGAGACAGAGUGAAAGACAGAGACACAGAGACAGAGACAGAGUGAGAGACAGAGACAGAGUGAGAGACAGAGACAGAGUGAGAGACAGAGACAGAGUGAGAGACAGAGACAGAAACUGGCUCAUUCGAUUUAGUACCUCGCCCAAGACCACACAGUCAGUGCAGAGAUAUGAACUCAGGGCUGGAUUAAAGUCUGUACUUUGCUUCAAGAGAGGUCCUAAGGAGUGGUUUGUGACAGGGUUCUAUGCUGAACACAGGACAAUGAAUAAGAAAAAAAUGUGAGCACAGACAUGGAUAAAGGAUAAACAGAAUCAACCCCUGGCUAUUUAAUGCUGUUUUCCCAUUCCCCAAGGAACAGCAAUUUAAAAUUUUCCCUGUCUUUAGGGCCCGUCCCCCACUCCCAACCUUACUCUGCCCUGUCACCAUAGGAGAUGGCCUUCCACACCCACUGCUUCCAGAAUCAUGGUUUCAAUCCUCACCUCUCACUAAUUUGAGUAUCCGUGUCAGUUUCUGAACUCUGGGAUGUUCACUUUACUUAUGACUGCAAGCAGGACAUCAACAAUAUUGGCUCUUCGCUCUCCUUGGUUCCUGUGUGUAGUCAUAAGUGCUGCUUUGAACGGAUAGGUAGCUGGGCAGAACCGCACGCACAUGGGCCGUGUGCUGGUAUUUACUCUGGGAUCUGUUCUUGCCUCCCCAUCUGUCUGGGAAGCUGACCUCUACUGGAUGCUUCAGGGGCAUCUCCUUACACACCGAGGUGCCAGCAGGCAGGAGGGAGAUGUAAGUGUCUCCUCCUCACAUUAGAUCCUGUUUUACCGAUGUUCUGGUCUCAUGGCACAGGCUGGACUGUCCGUGGUUACGUUCUUAUUAGUGGCUCUGCUCUCUUUGGUCCUUACGGCUCAGAAAGAAGUGACAACAGCUUUUCCAUUACCAGUCUCUGGAUAGUUCACCUUCCCUCUCACUCCGCUAAGUCUGCUUAUCCCUAGACAUAUGUGGAGCUGCUCCUUGCCUUGCUUUUGGGUAGACAUCUCCUGACAUUUGUUAGCAAAAUGGCGAGGUGGCAGCAUAUCAAAAUAAGAAAGUGUGGAUUUGACAACAUUUAAGAACUACUCAAAACCACAUUGUUACACUUUUUCUUUGAGGAGUAAAAUUUUUUUUUCUGUUUUAAUGACCAACUGGACAGCAGAGUCUAUGAGGAAGGAUACAGAUUAAUCUACUUAAAUUUAGUCUAAAAAGAGAAUUGUUGGAUUACUUUUGGAUUGCUCCAUUUCUAUCCUCUGGCUGUAAAAUUUGGAGAGCUAUUUGAAAACAGUUAAUUCUAAAAGCAAUGUAACUGAUCUAGUUUAAUUAAUCAUGUUUUGGCAUUUUUAAUUAAUAAAUUUCCUAUCCUCCAGUCAUAACUAAUAAACCCUCAGCACUGAGAACACACACUAUAUCUGGUGGGAAGAAAUUGGGCCAUACUUUUUUUAAAUGGAGCCUUCUGAUAUGGGCACCGUUUUACAUUACGUUCUUCCCCAGGGGUUUAACACAACACAUUAGGACGUGUCCAUGGACUGAGGCAUGAGACACUUUCUAAGGCCUGAAGACUGUUACCAAAGAAGAAGAAGUAAGAAGAGAGAUCUGGGAACAGCUCCUCCACACAGUCAAAUAGGCCCCCGGCCUUCUCUAUGACUCACAUUCUGUGCACAACCAGGACAAACUGUAGUACGACUCUUCCCUGCUCAGCACCCGUCCCUCAUGACUCUGCUUCUGCCAACAACCCGGACUUCGUUCACAUUCAGUGCUGGGGAAGCCUGUGCCGAGGAGGAGGGGGGGGUGCGUUUUGGAGUCACGCUGUCUGUAGGGAAAGCUGCAAGCUCUGGCUGUUUCCAUCUGAACGACAUUUCAUUUGGUCUAGCUCAACGUCUGCUGAUUGCUCAUGCUGUCCAGAAAAAGCUUUGAUUAAACCUUCUAAGUUUACCUCA